GCAGUCGAGCGGAUGAAGAGAGCUUGCUUUCUGAUUCAGCGGCGGACGGGUGAGUAAUGCCUAGGAAUCUGCCUGAUAGUGGGGGACAACGUUUCGAAAGGAACGCUAAUACCGCAUACGUCCUACGGGAGAAAGCAGGGGACCUUCGGGCCUUGCGCUAUCAGAUGAGCCUAGGUCGGAUUAGCUAGUUGGUGAGGUAACGGCUCACCAAGGCGACGAUCCGUAACUGGUCUGAGAGGAUGAUCAGUCACACUGGAACUGAGACACGGUCCAGACUCCUACGGGAGGCAGCAGUGGGGAAUAUUGGACAAUGGGCGAAAGCCUGAUCCAGCCAUGCCGCGUGUGUGAAGAAGGUCUUCGGAUUGUAAAGCACUUUAAGUUGGGAGGAAGGGCAUUAACCUAAUACGUUAGUGUUUUGACGUUACCGACAGAAUAAGCACCGGCUAACUUCGUGCCAGCAGCCGCGGUAAUACGAAGGGUGCAAGCGUUAAUCGGAAUUACUGGGCGUAAAGCGCGCGUAGGUGGUUUGUUAAGUUGAAUGUGAAAGCCCCGGGCUCAACCUGGGAACUGCAUCCAAAACUGGCAAGCUAGAGUAUGGCAGAGGGUGGUGGAAUUUCCUGUGUAGCGGUGAAAUGCGUAGAUAUAGGAAGGAACACCAGUGGCGAAGGCGACCACCUGGGCUAAUACUGACACUGAGGUGCGAAAGCGUGGGGAGCAAACAGGAUUAGAUACCCUGGUAGUCCACGCCGUAAACGAUGUCGACUAGCCGUUGGGAUCCUUGAGAUCUUAGUGGCGCAGCU
rnacentral:rRNA from 1 species